CUAUCUUAGAGAUGGAUCUCUCAGCUCAGGAUGCAGCUAGCUGUGAGAAUUAAUGUAAAUCGCAGAACACGUUGAUCAUUGACACUUUGAGGGCACUCGCAGCCCUGGGUUCCUCCUGGGACUUAUUAAUUUAA
rnacentral:rRNA from 1 species